rnacentral:rRNA from 2 species
UUGCUAGAAGAUGACGAGUGGCGGACGGGUGAGUAAUGCUUGGGAACUUGCCUUUGCGAGGGGGAUAACAGUUGGAAACGACUGCUAAUACCGCAUAAUGUCUUCGGACCAAACGGGGCUUCGGCUCCGGCGCAAAGAGAGGCCCAAGUGAGAUUAGCUAGUUGGUAAGGUAACGGCUUACCAAGGCGACGAUCUCUAGCUGUUCUGAGAGGAAGAUCAGCCACACUGGGACUGAGACACGGCCCAGACUCCUACGGGAGGCAGCAGUGGGGAAUAUUGCACAAUGGGGGAAACCCUGAUGCAGCCAUGCCGCGUGUGUGAAGAAGGCCUUCGGGUUGUAAAGCACUUUCAGUUGUGAGGAAAAGUUAGUAGUUAAUACCUGCUAGCCGUGACGUUAACAACAGAAGAAGCACCGGCUAACUCCGUGCCAGCAGCCGCGGUAAUACGGAGGGUGCGAGCGUUAAUCGGAAUUACUGGGCGUAAAGCGCACGCAGGCGGUUUGUUAAGCUAGAUGUGAAAGCCCCGGGCUCAACCUGGGAUGGUCAUUUAGAACUGGCAGACUAGAGUCUUGGAGAGGGGAGUGGAAUUCCAGGUGUAGCGGUGAAAUGCGUAGAUAUCUGGAGGAACAUCAGUGGCGAAGGCGACUCCCUGGCCAAAGACUGACGCUCAUGUGCGAAAGUGUGGGUAGCGAACAGGAUUAGAUACCCUGGUAGUCCACACCGUAAACGCUGUCUACUAGCUGUGUGUGUCUUUAAGGCGUGCGUAGCGAAGCUAACGCGCUAAGUAGACCGCCUGGGGAGUACGGCCGCAAGGUUAAAACUCAAAUGAAUUGACGGGGGCCCGCACAAGCGGUGGAGCAUGGUGGUUUAAUUCGAUGCAACGCGAGACCUUACCUACACUUGACAUGCUG